rnacentral:rRNA from 1 species
UACGUAGGGUGCAAGCGUUAAUCGGAAUUACUGGGCGUAAAGCGUGCGCAGGCGGCUUUGCAAGACAGAUGUGAAAUCCCCGGGCUUAACCUGGGAACUGCAUUUGUGACUGCAUGGCUGGAGUGCGGCAGAGGGGGAUGGAAUUCCGCGUGUAGCAGUGAAAUGCGUAGAUAUGCGGAGGAACACCGAUGGCUAAGGCAAUCCCCUGGGCCUGCACUGACGCUCAUGCACGAAAGCGUGGGGAGCAAACAGG